rnacentral:rRNA from 1 species
AUGAACGCUAGCUACAGGCUUAACACAUGCAAGUCGAGGGGCAGCAUGAACAAAGCUUGCUUUGUUUGAUGGCGACCGGCGCACGGGUGCGUAACACGUAUCCAAUCUGCCCGCGGCUCGGGGAUAGCCCAUCGAAAGAUGGAUUAAUACCCGAUGGCGUGGUUUCUCCGCAUGAUGUUUUAACCAAAGAUUUAUCGGUAUAGGAUGGCGAUGCGUGACAUUAGGUAGUAGGUGAGGUAACGGCUCACCUAGCCUACGAUGUCUAGGGGUUCUGAGAGGAAGGUCCCCCACACUGGAACUGAGACACGGACCAGACUCCUACGGGAGGCAGCAGUGAGGAAUAUUGGUCAAUGGUCUGACGACUGAACCAGCCAUGCCGCGUGAAGGUCACGGCCCUAUGGGUCUUAAACUUCUUUUGUAAGGGAGCAAUAAGUCUCACGUGUGGGAUGAUGAGAGUACCUUACGAAUAAGCAUCGGCUAACUCCGUG